rnacentral:rRNA from 1 species
AAGGGUGAGGAUAAUGUACCGGGACACACCCAGUCCCAUUCCGAACCUGGCCGUUAAGCCGGUAUGUGCCGAUGGUAGUACAGGUUAUGCUGUGCGAGAGUAGGUUUUGCCCUUC